ACAUUUGGUAAGUACCUUUAAAAUUUAAAACACCCUCAAAAUGAUUCUAACACUAUCCUCUGACGCUUUUCGACUAGGAUCAAAUAAAAGUUAAUUAUUUAAUUACAGAUUGGUGGAAUCCAGAUUCUGUGAAUGUACAUGUAAUUGAUUGACAAGUACACAUUUGACAAGGUGGUGAGAAACGUGUAGAUCUGGCCUGCUUACAGUGGCUAUUGGAUUGGACAGAACCAAAGUGAGAGUGAACGUGUGAAUUUAUGGAGAACAUUAAAAACUAUUUUACUAUAAGUCAUAACGCAACUUAUUUUGUAUGAGUUACAUACAAAUGUCAAGCCGUGAGUACAUUAUGUAAAAACUAAAACAAUGUACCUACUGUAAUCACAACAGUAACUGUAAUCUUUUAAAAUCCAAUAGUUUUAAUGCUUAUUGAUUUUCGUAAACAAAAUAUUUCAUGUUAUAUUUCAUCAAUAAAGUUUCAUUUGAUA